rnacentral:rRNA from 1 species
UACGAAGGGGCUAGCGUUGCUCGGAAUCACUGGGCGUAAAGGGUGCGUAGGCGGGUCUUUAAGUCAGGGGUGAAUCCUGGAGCUCAACUCCAGAACUGCCUUGAUACUGAAGAUCUUGAGUUCGGGAGAGGUGAGUGGAACUGCGAGUGUAGAGGUGAAAUUCGUAGAUAUUCGCAAGAACACCAGUGGCGAAGGCGGCUC